CAUUUGGUAGUGGUGCCGGAGACGGACCCCUUUAGAUUUCGGGGCGGCUGAGGAGCGCGGCGGCUGCUCUGUGGCUGAGUGAGGGGGGUGGGCGGAAUGGCGGGGGAAGGGAAGGUGACUGUGCCUCGAGGGCCGAGCCGCCCGGCCUUGCCAGCCAGCCGCCGCCUCAGCGUUCGGCCGGGGGCGGGGCCGCAGGUGCGUUCUGCGAGGGGGAGGGGCGCGGCCGGAGGGGUCGGGUCGGGGUCCCCGCCCGGCCGAGGGCUUCGCGGGGCGGCGCGACGGGGUUGCGGAAGGAGGCGGGCGGCUUGAGGUCCGGGGACCGCGGGCUGCCCAGCGGGAGGGCAGAUGAAAGGCCUGGAAGGAGGAGAGGGGUCAGGGUGCAAUGCCGGGAGGGGCUCGUCGGGUCCCGGGUCCGGCGGCUCGCGCUGGGGAGCGUGGCUGCCCCCGUCACCCCCACCGCGGCUGCCCAGCAGCCCGCGCGCCCCUUCCCCUCCGGCCUCGUCCCUGUCAGGCCGCCACCAUCGCCACCCUCGUAUACAUAAGUCAGUAAAAGCAAGAUGCUUCCACUUUUGGAUGACUUACCGCGCGGUCGCGACCCUUCCCACGAAGAGGCUUUUCACUUUGCUGUCAUAUUAGGUCAGCUUGGAAGAAGUGAUCACCAAGAGACACCCAAGAUCUUGUUUAGGCAAUAAAUGAAUGAAGACCAUGGAUUAAGAACCGUUGCUAGAUAUGUAGAAUAUUAAAAGGUGGAAAAGGAAGGUGCUCAUAACUCCUGGUUUUCUGGACCAAACAUAAUUUCUGGGCUUUAUAGACCUAGUGAAAGAGAACGGCGCACGGUUUAUUCUAAUCGUCCACCUGAGUCAUUCGGUUCGGUUUGGGUUGCCAAGGAGGCUCUAACUGGAGCCCUUUCUCCUGGUUUUUCGGCGUGGUUGCCUUGGGUAUUUUUGAAUCACAUUAAGUUUUAAGAGACCUUAAAGCCCCGAUGCCCACUGGGUUACCGACUUACGGCACUAAGUUGGCUGCCUGUGGCUGUUAAUAAACCACGGGGAUUGUUGUCAACGAGGACAGAUACAUCCUUACCUUUCCACACGACUGUAUUUUAGUGUUUGUUUCUACAUGUCUGCACUCUUCCCCACACGCCUCAAGGUAGUUUUUCUGGAUACAUAUGUUUAUUUUUCAGGAACAGGAGUUCAAAGGAGAGAUAAGCCAGUAUGUAUGUUGCAAAGUUAAAAUACUGUUGCAUAAUAGCAAUCCAGUUUCAUUCUUAGACAUACGAAGUUGAGGAGGAAAUAAAAAGUGACAAUGUAAAUAAAACACAUACAGAAUGCUUACACUGGGGAAGAAGCUGUAGUAACUUUAAUAUUGCAACCUGAUGGAUUGCAAGUGUAAAGCCCUGCAACUAAGGAUUUUACUCAGUAAAUUCUUUCAGAUAAAAUGAUAAAUGGAAUUUGAAGUCUGAUGUUUACUCUGAUUAGGUGGGAAAUGCACCAUAAAAGUUAGAAGUCAUUGUUUUAUUUUAUCUGGGUAUAAAUAGUAUAAUUUAUUUAACUUGUUGACUUGCCUGUCAUCCUCAGAUUUUGUUAAUCUUAUUGAAGCCUAUUUGUAUAGUUGGAAUUUAUUCUAAGUUUUAUUGGCUUCUUUGUAAUACAUGAGGAACCCCAAAUUUCCUAUUUAUGCCAUUGAGACAGUUGUUAUUUCUGGAUAUGGUGUUUAGGAUUGUAUUCAAACAGAACUCUUAUCAAAACAGGUCAAUAUGGUGUGUAUGAUCUGUGUAACAUAGGAGUCCUGAAGUUUGUGUUCUCUUUGAUGGUAAAUGUUCAUUUUCAAUUUAAAAGUUUAACCACAGUUAAGACCACGCUGCUAGCAAUGCAAUAUGAGACAGUGUCUUUCCAGAGGAGUAAUCCCUUAAAAACCAACCAAUCAAAUGCAGAGAUAUGCCCCAUCCAGCUUUGCUAAAUAGAAGCAAAUAGCUCACUUUAUUGUACAAAGACUCAAGAGGAAGACUUAGAAGCCCACCCCCUCCCCCAUUAAAGAGAAAGUACAGAAACAAAUUAGAAUCGAAAAAAUCAUGGCCUGAUUACUAAAUCAAAACGUUAAAUGUGACAGUUGUUUUUAGAAGCAUCUUACAUUUAUACAUUUUGAUGACUUUUGUAUUAAUGUUAGAAAAUUGAAAGAAGGCUUCACUGGAUGUCAGUCGUUACAGAAAUUGAAAUAUCCAAAAGUAUAUGUAUAACCAAUUGAGUAAUUUCCGCUUUCCUUACACACUUGAAAUAAAUUUUCUUUUGCUUUUACAAAUAGAUCUAUAUGUAAGAAAAUUUUCAUAUGAUUUUGCUUUUUUAUUAUUAAAAAAGGAAUAUAGUAAAGCCAAAGCUGAGCUGUAUUUGCCCCACACAACAUGACCAAAUAUAAAAAAAACCACUGCUCUUACAAAUAUCUUAUUUUACAAAGUUGUUUUUUAAAUUACAUUUUAUUGUAUAUUAUAAUAGUAAAUAAGUGUUCUAAGUGGCACUGCAUUUCAGAAAAUAUAGAAAGAAAUCCCAUAUCAAGGAAUCUUGGCUGAAUUUUGAAACGGAGUUGGGAACAGGUAAGAGUUCCUAUCUACUGAGUAAUUCUACAACAGGAAUUGUGUUUGAAAGAUGUAGAGUCUCUAACCUCUGAAACUAGGUUUGAGUCACACUGAGAAGAAUAAAUGAGAUACAAUUCAAAGUUUAACCCCCUAGAGAGAUAGAUGGCCCAGGAAGGAAAGAUCUUCCCGCCUUCCAGAAUAUCCUCCAUCAAGAACCAUUCCAAAUAAAUGAGCAGCCUAUUUUGUUCUCAAAGACAUGAACAAUGAGUGUCCUUAGGCUCUUUUGAAAUGUGUAGGAGAGUACUGUUUUACAAAUAACCAUAUCGUUACUAUUGCCAUUUUAUUAGGUUGGUGCAAAAGUAAUUACCAUUUUUUUUAAAAAAGGCAAAACCACAAUUACUUUUGCACCAAUAGCACAUUUGCCCUUGUUUGGUCUCUAAAGAUGGAGACCCUUUGGUUAGCAUCCUUUUUAUGAGUCAAGCUAAUAUACCCACAGCUCAACUUUUUGUUCUUGAGCUUGAAUCACAUCACUGGCAAUCGGCCGUAGUACUCUCUUACCUACAUCAUGGUUCUGCUGCUUGGACCCCAAAGACAAUGACAUGGAAAAACUCCAGCUUAAUUAUGUUCUUUUUUGUUUGUAUAUGUAAAUAGUUUUUAGGAAUGUAGAUUAUUAUUUUGAAAUCUGUGGUAACAAAUGUGAAAACCACUACAUUUUAUUUAUUUUCAUUGAAUAGCAAAUAAUGUUGAAGCCUGGGAUCUAAAAAGUUAAAUAUUAUUUUAUUUUGCUUAAUAAAGUAUUGGAUAAUUUAGAAAAAGAAUUUUUUUUUAAUGAUUGGAUAGUUACCUUAUUAAUGGAUUGGUCAGGGAGAAAAAGCCCUGUUGGAUGAAAACUGUCAUAUAUGUGACUUUUAAAGUGAAAUUAAUAAGCCAGGCAUGGUGAUGUUCCCCUGUAGGCCCAGCUACUUGGGAGGCUGAAGUGAAAGGAUCACUUGAGCCCAAGAGUUCAAGAACAGCUCGGACAACAUAGCAAGACCUGUUUCUCUAAAAACAAAAAACAGUAAAAAUCUUAAAAACCGCUUAAAGAUGGUUGGUUUCUUUUAAAAAGGAAAAAAAGGCUCAGGUGCAGUGGCUCACGCCUGUAAUCCCAACACUUUGGGAAGCUGCAGGCAGAUAGCUUGAGCUCAGGAGUUCGAGACCAGCCUGGGCAACAUGGUGAAACCCCAUCUUUACCAAAAAUGAAAAAAAAAAAAAAAAAUUAGCCUGGCAUGGUGGCGUGCACCUGUGGUCCCAGCUACAAUAGAGGCUGAGGUGGGAGGAUCCCUUGAGCCCGGGAGGUGGAGAUUGCAGUGAGUAGAGAUCACGCCUCGGCACUCCAGCCUGGGCAACAUAGCCAGAUACUGUCUCAUUAAAAAAAAAAAAAAAAAGGCCGGGCGCGGUGGCUCAUGCCUGUAAUCCCAGCACUUUGGGAGGCCGAGGUGGGCGGAUCACGUGGUCAGGAGAUGGAGACCAUCCUGGCUAACACGGUGAAACCCCGUCUCUAUUAAAAAUACAAAAAAUUAGCCGGGUGAGGUGGCGCACGCCUGUAGUCCCAGCUACUCGGGAGGCUGAGGCAGGAGAAUGGCGUGAACCCGGAAGGCGGAGCUUGCAGUGAGCAGAGAUCACUCCAUUGCACUCCAGCCUGGGCGACAGAACGAGACUCCGUCUCAAAAAAAAAAAAAAAAAAAAGCCAGGUAUGGUGGCUCACGCCUGUAAUCCCAGCACUUUGGGAGGCCAAGGCGGGUGGAUCACCUGAAGUCAGGAGUUCGAGACCAGCCUGGCCAACAUGGUGAAAUGCCAUCUCUACUAAAAAUACAAAAAAAAAAAAAAAAAAAAAAAGCCGGGCUUCGUGGCACGUGCCUAUAAUCCCAGCUACUCGGGAGGCAGAGGCGGGAGACUUACUUGAACCCGGGAGGCAGAGGUUGCCAUGUGCCAAAAUCGCACCAUUGCACUCCAGCCUGGGCAACAAGAGUGAAACUCCAUCUCAAAAAAAAAAAAAAAAAAAUCACUUGCACACUUGUUUGGAAGUCUCUAGAAAUUUUGUGAAUCGGUUUCUUAAAUAUAUUUAUUAAAGACAGUUUUGAAGUAGCAAUGAGGGAAGUUUGUUUACCAUUCAUCAGGAAGAAAACCAGAGCUGUAAGCUCUUACUUUUAGUAUUAAAAUAUGGCUGUGAAGGAAAAAAAUAAAUGCCUUAAAGACAAAUAAUGGAAUGAGGAGCUAUAGAACAAAGUGACAUAAGGCAAUUUUGGUUGAAAAAUAGAAAUGCAAUUAAUUUAGAUUCCACUAAUUUGUUUUAAUCCAUCUAGAGUUGAGGUUUACCUCUAUGAAGAAAAGAAUACUAAAAUCUAUUAAGAUAUGAGGUAGAGAUCAGACUUUUUAAGAACUUUUAAUGUUUUUACCAUUUGCAAAUGGCAUUUAUAACUUUCGUAUACAUAGUAAAAUUAUGUAUACAAUAAUUAAAUCCUCUUAGAUUCUCUGCUUUGUAAUGGCAAUUAUUAUUUGUACCUCUAAGUAAUGAUCUAUUUGUAAAAAAUUUUCUACAGCGCCUCUUGAAUUAGAGAUCAAUUUAAUGCAUUCUGAGAAAUUAGUAAAUUUUUAACGUAUUUCUAGUUGAAAUAUUGGGUUCUUUCAGGCAAGUAUAUGUAUACCCUAAACUUUCUUUGGAAGUUCUGGAUCCUAGCAACUAUAAUAUAAAAACUUUGAAUUCAUUUGUACAUGACGAAAUGAGAUAGCCACGAUAGGUGUUAGAGGACUUUUACCCAGUGGAGGAACAUGUUUUACUCUGCUGCAUUGGUCUUUUUUUUUUUUUUUUCCUUUCUUUUUGAGACAGGGUCUCACUGCCACCCAGGCUGGAGUGCAGUGAUGCGAUCAUGGCUCACUGCAGCCUUGACCUCUUGGGCUCAAGCAGUCCUCCUGCCUCAGCCUCCCAAGUAACUGGGGCCACAGGCAUGCACCACCACACCUGGCUAAUUUUUAAAUUUUUAUAGAGAUGAGGUCUCACCAUGUUGGCCAGGCUAGUCUCAAGCUCCUGGGCUCAAGCGAUCCUCCUGCCUGGGCCUUCCAAAGUGCUGGGAUUACAGAUAUGAGCCGUGGUGCCCAGCCUUGCAUUGGUCUUAUAACUCAAUAAUGUACGUGAAAUUAUUGUAUAUGCCUUCUUGUAUAUGAGAAUUACCACUUCUACAUAUAUAUUGGAGGGCAAGUCAAGUAAGUGUGACAAACAUUUUUCACUAGGCUAGGCCAACUCAUGUCUGUGUUCAUGUUGAGAAGUAAUUCUAUAGAUAAGGCAGAAGAGCAGACAAACUCAGGAUACAAGUGUGCAAAGAUGUAUAACAGACAUGUUGAUCAUUGUAUCAUAGCAUUUUUAUAAUAGCGAAAGAAAGAAAAGAAAGGGGAAGAGGGAAAAUGAAAAAGAAAAAAACAGAAAAGAUUCAUAUGCCCAGGAAAAAAGUCUGGGAGAGUAUGUACCAAAAAAUGUUUAAAAACUUUGAUUACAAUGGUUUUGCAUGGGUGAUGAUGUCAUAGUGGUUUUUGAUUUUGAGGUCUUUUAUUUGUCUAUAUUUAAAAAGUUUUCCAUUGAUAAUUUUUGCAAUGAAACAGGUAUUUUAAUGGAAAUUAUAGGUGUAGAUGAUAUGUGGAAUGUUUAUGCUAGUCAGAAUUUUUGGUGAAGAUAACAGAAAUUUACCUUGACCAACACAAGAAAAAGGCAAUUUUUAUAAGUCUGUCACAGAACCAAAGAACAAGGUCCAGGAAAGAAGAAGCCAGGGAAGCUGGCAAUUUGGAGCACAGCCAAGAUGGUCCCUGCCCUAGGUAAAGUCUUCAGAGGACCUCACACCUCAGAAGUCAUCUCUGCUAUGGGCUGUGAAUCCCACCAUACCUACAAUGAUCUCAGCAUCCUGCCUUUUUGUGUCACUCCCUCGAGGUUCAAAGCCCUUGGCAAGAACAUUUGCAGAUGCCCCAGCUGUCAGAGAGAAAAGAUUAUCUUCCUCCUUUAGCUUCCACAGUGGGAUGUGUGACCCUGCCUCCUGCCUAUUUUAGGACUCUGCCUAAACUAAGUGUUCUGGUGCUAGGUGACCAAAACCAAAAAUCCACGAACAUGUUCUAACAAAAUAAUGCUGUGAAGGUUUCCUGAUGAUCCAUGUUACUCCCAUAGUAUCUCCCCUCUUCCUCCCUACUACUUACCAGCAAGAGACCGUACCACCUAUUUAGGAUCAAUGUAAAGCAGAGCUAAUAUCUGAAAUCCCAGUUUCUUUUCAAAUGCUUCCCUUUCCAAAUUUGAAGCCAGAAGAAACAAUGUAUCACUGCUGAUGUCAAUAAGACUUCCUUGGCUGGGCACCGUGGCUCACACCUGUAAUCCCAGCACUUUUUGAGACCGAGGUGGGCAGAUCAGUUGAGGUCAGGAGUUCAAGACCAGCCUGGCCAACAUGGUGAAACCCCAACUCUACUAAAAAUACAAAAGUUAGCUCAGUGUGGGGGCACACGCCUGUAAUCCCAUCUACUUGGGAGGCUGAGGCAGGAGGAUCGCUUGAACCUGGGAAGUGGAGGUUGCAACUAGCCAAGAUGGUGCCACUGCACUCCAGCCUGGGUGACAGAGUUAGACUCCGUCUCAAAAAAAAAAAAAAAAAAAAAAAAAAAAAAAAAAAAAAAAAAAGACUCUACCGCAGCAAAACUGGUGAUAAUCUUAAAAUUUGGAAAGGAAAUGUCCCUAGUAAAGAUAUUUGAUUUAAAUUACAAGGAAUUUAGUUCUAAGGGAUAAUCGACAUAUUUCAUAAAUAAAUGCAGAUAUCUCUAGAUAUCAAAUGAUAAAAGAUCUUGAGCAGUGAUGGAUUACUGCUAAUGGGUUUCUGUCUGCUACUCUGAGCACAGUUCAGGCUCAAGAACUGACAUGAAGGGUUUGAGAAUUUAGUCAAAAUCUGGAAGUAGGCAGGUGGUCACAGGCUAACUAAGAGUUCAUAACCGGAUGCAGUCGUUGAAGGACAAUUGUGAAGAAAAAAUGCUGAUGGUGAAACGAAUGCAAAAACCACAAACACAUUGAAGAGGCCUAUGUUCCUGGGAACAAAGAGGAAGGUUAUCAAUGAUGUGCUUGUAGAAAACAUAUUAAUACUGGAAUAUUGUCUUCUUUCCCAUCAUUUCAGGUCAGUUAGCUUAGAUUACUAUUCAGCUAGAAAAAACAAAUGAUACCCUUGCAAGGACUCUGAACAAUAUUGGAAUUCAGCUGUUUUGUUUCUAAUAAAACAUGGUUUAACUGUUACAUGAAUAGAAGUUCCUUAUAAGUGCCAAUUACUUCUUUCCAGAGAAGCAGUGCUAAAGAUUCUGUUCAUUGGUACACUAAGUGUUCUUCAUGACCCAGUGUUUUAUUUCCUAUAAGUUAGCUUUUUUUCUCAGAUGAUUUAAUGAAAAUUAUGGCAGUCUGCUCAUUGUUCAGCAAAAUCCAUUUCCUCUUCUCCUUGAACACAAAGCUUGACUAUGUUUCCUAGAUGGCCCUUGCAGUUAGUUGGGGCCAUGUGACUGGGUUCUAGCUUGUUGAUUAUAAGUGGAAGUGAUGCUGCCACUUAAAGGCUUGAAAGUGCCACUGCAUACUGACUGAGAUGCAGUGGAAGCCCUGUGUUUAUGAGGUGGACCCCCUCUCAGGCUGAAAUGUCUCUUAAGAGUCAUUUCAGCAACCUAUUUACUUGCCCACCAAGAGAGAAAUUGUGACUAAGAAACUUUUAUGGGGCUGUGCCAUUAUAUGCUUGUAUCCAUUUGUUACUGUAGCCUAUGCUAGUAACUAACACAAUAAUAAAGGUUUUUUUCAGUCUUAGUUUUCUAUUCAUUUGUAGACCAAUUGUAAAUGUGAAUAUUGUAUUUCCAUUGUAUCUUGGCUUACAUGUUCAAAGCACCAUAAAACAGAUAAAAGGAUUAUAUUAACAAGUACUUAAUGUAGAAAAGAUCAGUGCAAGGGAGUCUAUGGAAUAACAUGCAAAUAUGUCUCUUUCCCCCAAACUUAGUGCUUGGCUCAUAGUAAGUAUAAAAUAAAUGCCUGUUGUUUCAUCAAUAAGUAGUCCUCCCCUCUCAAGCUGCAGACUGACAUUUUAAUUGCUCAUUGGACAUUUCCAAACAGGUAUCUUACAGGAACAAACCACAUGACAUUUCCAAAACGAAUCUCUUCCUUGCCAGCCUCUGCCUACUCUGCCUCCACCAAACUACCUUUAUCCUUCUGGCUCUCCUGUUUUGAUUAAUGGUACCCUUGGAAUUGUCCUCUGUUGACUCCCAUAACCAAAUGGUUAACUCGUCCUCUAAAUUUCCAACUACCUUUCCUCCUAUCAGCCCCACUUUUUCACCACUCUAUCCAAGCAAGCUCGCCCCACCCUUUCUCAUGUCUAAAUUGGCACCGUGUGCUAAGAGUUCCCAGGCUUUGGGUUUUCUCACCAAUAACAUUUAAAAAAAGGGUUUAGGACCAACAUAGAAUUCCCAACUUUUAAUUUUGCCAGAUAAAGACAUUCUUUAAAAAACUUAUCUUUUAUUGUUCUAUAGACUAUUUUUAAAAUGGCAAUGUAGGGAGGACUCAGCUUUAGAAUAUAGGACACUCCUCUACAUUGAAUUUAAUUUUAUGAGAAUUCACUACCUUGUUCAAGAUUGAGUAGUUGGAAACUCUUGUCUAGAUCAGCACUGGCCCUGAGGUCUUGAUGUGGUUUUGUGGCCAGAUGAAUGUUUCUGAGUUCCAGUUCCAGUGCUCCUCCGGUCAACAACAGCCUCUCUGGUUCCCUGUGGCCUGCUUUCCCCCACCUGGCAUUAAAACUCCCCAAAGAAGGCCUCAUACUACCUUCCAGUGUUAUCUCUAAUUUCCAGGCAAAUUAGACCUUCUGUUAUUCCUUUUUCUUUUCUAUCUUUGACUAUGCAGUUCUUGCACCUGUACAGUCUAUCCUUUUUUCCCCACCACGCAAAAUUCUACCCAAAAUUUAAGACCACAUUUGAUAUCAUUGCCUCCUUUGAAACCUUUGAUGAUCCAUUUUACCCACACAAACAAGAGCUUUCCUCUCCUUGAACUUGCAUAACAUGGUAAAGUAUAGCACGUGGCUGCUUUCUUCCACAUGCUGUGCUUAUUUACCUCUCCCACAAAAUUACAAUAAAUCCUUAAAGAUAAGAAAAAUGUUUGAUUCAUUUUUAUUACCCCUCCAUUAUUUGAACAUUAAAUGUUGAAUAUAUAUUUAAUGACUUAAUGAAUACUUUAGACAUAGUGAACUCCAGACUUUAAAAAGUAUCUUUGAAACAUUUAAAUAACUUUAAUCUUCAAUGUCAAGUAAAUAACAGUAGGGUAUUGGGGAAACAGAUUGCUAAGUAACUUCUUUAUUCUUUCCAAAAUGAGGGAAACAAAACUAAAUUCCAGUUUCCAUGAUCAUAACACAGAAGCUUUUCUACUAUAAACAUUGUAUUUUAGGCUCCUACCCAGGAAUUGUCUUUUAUUUUAGGUGGCUAACCAGGAAUUGAAUUGUCUUAAAAGACAAUGUGUAGGAGAAAUAGCAAUUACAGAUCUUCCUAACUCUGAUCUAAUUUUGUGUACAAGCCAUUUUUAGUGAAGGUACUUGGGCACAGCUUUUAUUCCUUUAGAUUUUGUAUUCAUCAAAAAGCGAGAAAAAAUGGGGUGACAAAACUCAUCUAUUUCCCUCUUAUUUCACUUUUGAAGGAAAUCAGAGCACUUGUACUUCCAUGUUCUGUCUUUGACCUAAGAAAUAUUUAUUUCUAUAGUGUUCUAUUAGGAAAAUCAAUAUUGGCCGAGCACCAUGGCUCACACCUGUAGUCCCAGCACUUGGCUGAGGCAGGCAGAUCACCUGAGGUCAGGAGUUCAAGACCAGCCUGGCCAACAUGGUGAAACACUGUCUCGACUAAAAAUAUAAAAAUUAGCUAGGCAUGGUGGUGCACAC
rnacentral:lncRNA from 1 species